rnacentral:rRNA from 1 species
AGAGAGAGACAUGCGCGCAUAUCAAUAAGCGGAGGAAAAGAAACUAACAAGGAUUCCCUUAGUAACGGCGAGUGAAGCGGGAAGAGCUCAAAUUUGAAAUCUUCAAGGUUCUACCUUGACGAAUUGUAGUUUAAAGAAGUGUUUUCUGCUGAAGUUUUGGUAAAAGUUCUUUGGAAUAGGACAUCAUAGAGGGUGAGAAUCCCGUAUUUGACCAUUAUUUUCAGCUUUGUGAUACACUUUCAAAGAGUCGGAUUGUUUGGGAAUGCAGUCCAAAAUGGGUGGUAAAUUUCAUCUAAAGCUAAAUAUUGGCGAGAGACCGAUAGCGAACAAGUACCGUGAGGGAAAGAUGAAAAGAACUUUGAAAAGAGAGUUAAACAGUACGUGAAAUUGUCAAAAGGGAAGCGUUUGACACCAGUGUUGUUUUCUCGAAAAUCAAUUAAAAAUGGCUCGACUUUGUAUUGUUGAGACCUUAAAAGCUCACUGUACAUUUUUCGUGUCUUUUUUAAUGCACUUUUCGUUUAACAAGUCAACAUCAGUUUCUUUUGUUGUAAAAGGGUCAUUGGAAGGUGGCUUUCUUUUCGGAGAAAGUGUUUAUAGCCUUUGGCCUCUGCAAUCGGAGAGACUGAGGUCUGCAGCGUAGACUCUUCGGGGUUAGAUACAUUUGUGCUAAGUUAUAGCUUUUUAUAGACAACUUGUUGACUAUAAUUAGUCUUGUAGCUUACUCGCUUAUGCUAUUUUACCUACGCUUAGGAUGUUGAAGUCAUCGUAUCGCGC